AGGAAUAUUGGGCAAUGCCCGCAAGGGUGACCCAGCAACGCCGCGUGGAGGAUGAAUGUCGUAAGAUUGUAAACUCCUGUUAGAGGGGAAGAAUAGUACCGGUUGGACCGGUAUAUGACUGUACCCUCAGAGAAAGCCCCGGCUAACUACGUGCCAGCAGCCGCGGUAAUACGUAGGGUGCGAGCGUUAAUCGGAAUUACCGGGCGUAAAGCGUGCGCAGGCGGUUUUGUAAGACAGAGGUGAAAUCCCCGGGCUCAACCUGGGAACUGCCUUUGUGACUGCAAGGCUGGAGUGCGGCAGAGGGGGAUGGAAUUCCGCGUGUAGCAGUGAAAUGCGUAGAUAUGCGGAGGAACACCGAUGGCGAAGGCAAUCCCCUGGGCCUGCACUGACGCUCAUGCACGAAAGCGUGGGGAGCAAACA
rnacentral:rRNA from 1 species